CGGCUCAGACAGCGCUGGGGGCAGGAGAGUAACCGACAAUUUCUCCCCACGGACACACGCGCCUCUCUUCCGCCGCAACCUUGUCUGGGGGCGUCCUCAGAGCGCGGCCGACGCCAAUAUGGCGCCUCUUCCCAGCCUGCCCCUCGCCCGCUGAGGACCCGCCCCUGAAGGCCUGGACCCGCCUUGACCCCGCCCCCUCUCCCUUUGGGUCCCUGGAGGCUCCGGGGGCCCCGCCCACAGAGGCGCCGGCUGCGGCUGCCGACACCGGUGCGAAGGAGCGUUUGGUCCCCUCCUUUGUCAGUGGGACUGUCAAUCCAGACUAACUGCUUGGAAGAAUGCUUUGUUUGCUCUUACCUGCUGCAGUAAUUUGGAAGAAAGCACCCAAGAAUGUGACUAUAUUUGGAGAGUUUAAAUAAGGUCAUUAGUGUGGCCCCUACUCUAGUACGACUGAUGUCCUUAUAAGAAGAGGAAAUUUGGACACAGAUGGCACAGAGGAAAGGCCAUGUGAAAGCACUGGAGAAGACUGCCAUUUACAAGCCAAGGAGAGAGGCCUCAGAAGAAACCAACCCUGCUGACAUGUUGUCUCAAAUUUCUAGCCUCCAGAACU